rnacentral:tRNA from 1 species
GGAUAGCUCAGUCGGCAGAGCGCAAGACUCUUAAUCUUGUGGUCGUGGGUUUUAAUCUUGU